CUUUUCUGUUGGUCCUUCUAUACUCUAUACCUUUGGUCUUUUUUUUGCAUAUAGAUAUCCUGGCAAAUAUUCAUAUUCAAGUUACUUCAUUAGAUGAUAUAUUGCACAGAUGAGAUGAUGAAGUAUCAACAUGGAUUUUGCAAAUCUUAUGGUUGCCUUAUUCAUUUGCUUACUAAUACAAUUGAUUGUUUCACCUGGUCACUCAUCCUAGAUUCCUAAUGACAACACUGAUUGCCAUGUAUGAGAUAGGUCCUCAUGGCUUGAGUUGUCAUUAAUUGCAAGUAGACUCGACUAGGGGCUGGUUCAGAACCAGAACCGGCUUUGAACAAGUGAGAUUUUUUCUUUAAAAAAAAUUAAAAUGGAAAAAGUUCAACCGUUGGAUUUGAUUAAAACCAAAACUGGGGGACCCUGGGUUCCAGUUCCGGUCCUCCUAAACCUUGAACCUUAA
rnacentral:misc_RNA from 1 species